CUUCACCGAGCCGAGCCACAGCGGUUCGUCGCGGUUCUGGCCAUAGGUGGCGAGCAGUGCCUGGGCCUC
rnacentral:antisense_RNA from 1 species